AUCGUGAUUUUAAAACUUUCGCCAUCUUUCUGAACCACUCUCCCAUUUUCGAGUACAUGUGCUUCUUUCGUCGGCGAAAUCGUUGUGCUUGCAAUCUUUACGUUCUUCUUUGCAUGUGAGGACAUAUAGGUCCCUUCCAAUUGCACGGCAUAUACACGAUUUUCUUUGUCUUUUGGACUGUAAUGAAAAACGCAGACGUCCGGCACGGCGUUUAAAAAUUCGUUUAACGACUUAAAUCCAUAGUUUUUUCACAUUGAUCACUCGCCGGACAGUUCUUGGUAGUCCCUUUGUACUUAGCUUUCUUGGACGCCCUUGCUUGAUAUUAAAACGGAGCGUAAAAAGCUUUUGACAUCGUUUGAAACUUUUUCAGCUUUGAACAUUUUGGAAACAACGAGUAUCGAGA